rnacentral:lncRNA from 1 species
ACAUGAUUUAAAACUAGCGACGCCACGACCUCCUUGAGAGAUUUAUCUUAAUUAAUAUUGUUGCAUUAUUUUGCCGUAAUGACCAGCUGUAACGUUACAUUGUUACAAACUUACCAGCUAUUGAUUCGAAAUAUUGGCUUGAGUUGAAACUUUUGAUUGUAUUGUUAUUUUCAAUCAAUUAUACAGUUUAGAAGUCAUAAAUUGGCGCGCUUUUUCGCGACCGUUGAAACCAGUAAACAAACAACCAUGGUCUCCAGUACAAAUACAGCAUUAACUUCUACACUAUGUGCUAUUGACCAAGAGAGGACGCUGUUUCUCAGCAGUCAGCUGCCUUGAGUUGGAGGUGAGAAUUGUUUACUACACAGACAGCAACGGCGUCCUGUGAUUUCUCUUGAUGCUCUGGACUUCCAUUGACUGAUCAAACUGUGCAAUCAGAUCUCAACUGAGCCCACAACCAAUUGACUUAUUAGAAAAUCUGUGCAAGUUUCUGUCUCCUGGAUUCAGGUCAGUAGAGCAUGGACACUAUAGAAAUUAGAUUAUUUUGUUUAAAUGUAUUUU